GAUGUAGGUUAAAAGGAGUGGACCAGUGUUCUCUUUCUGACAGAACCAUUAAAAUUCCUAACCCACAUUGGACUGUCAUCUUUCAUCCAUUAAGACAUAAUGCUGCCUAUGGAUAAGGUUGGCUGUAAAAGUUUUCACAAAUAAAAGUGUGCCCCAUUGGUGCACCAUAAGACCCCUUUUCUGUUGUUCAUAGAGGCAUAAACAAGGAAAACAUUGAGAGCCUGAAAAUGAAAUUUCUUCAGACUGCAAUCAUUUGUUGUGGAAUUAUAAGCUGAACCUAACUACAGAUCCCAAAUUUGAAUCUGUGGCCAGAGAGGUUUGCAAAUCUACUAUAACAGAGAUUAAAGAAUGUGCUGAUGAACCGGUUGGAAAAGGUUACAUGGUUUCCUGCUUGGUGGAUCACCGAGGCAACAUCACUGAGUAUCAGUGUCACCAGUACAUUACCAAGAUGACGGCCAUCAUUUUUAGUGAUUACCGUUUAAUCUGUGGCUUCAUGGAUGACUGCAAAAAUGACAUCAACAUUCUGAAAUGUGGCAGUAUUCGGCUUGGAGAAAAGGAUGCACAUUCACAAGGUGAGGUGGUAUCAUGCUUGGAGAAAGGC
rnacentral:lncRNA from 1 species